CCGCUUUCGUUUGAAAAGUGAGUUUGCCGUUUUGCUUUUGGUUGCUCUGACAGCCUGUGCUUUUGCACAAUAUUUCCCCUACUACGGUGGUUACUAUGGAGCUGCCCAUACCUACAACUAUGCCUACCCAUCAGCCUACAACUAUGCCUACAACCCUGCUCUUUCCUAUUUGUGGAAGAAGUAAAACCCUUCCGAAAGGACUUUGACUCUGGAAGUUGUUUUCCAGAUCUCUGACACUGGAAAAUCUUUUCUAGGUCUUUGGAACCAGCAAACGCAUCUGAAAUGAUUCAAAUCUUAUUUGAUGAUGACAUUGUUGGAUUUCAUUAAGUUGUAUUUUUCUAAAAUGUUGCUGACCAAAUUUUUACUGUAAAUUUCUUAGAACAAUAAACUUAAAAAACUUUCUUUUAA
rnacentral:lncRNA from 1 species